UACGUAGGGUGCGAGCGUUAAUCGGAAUUACUGGGCGUAAAGCGUGCGCAGGCGGCGCGUUAAGACAGGUGUGAAAGCCCCGAGCUUAACUUGGGAAUUGCGCUUGUGACUGGCGAGCUUGAGUGUGGCAGAGGGGGGUGGAAUUCCGCGUGUAGCAGUGAAAUGCGUAGAGAUGCGGAGGAACACCGAUGGCGAAGGCAGCCCCCUGGGCUGACACUGACGCUCAGGCACGAAAGCGUGGGGAGCAAACAGG
rnacentral:rRNA from 1 species